GUUGGUGUGCAGUUGGCCUACGAGGCCCUGAUUCGAUUCCUGAGGACGCCUUCCAAUCAGGAAUCGAUUAAAGCAGAGCUCGGCUCCUGUGACCACCACUACAACUUCCUGGAUGUUUUUUUGAGCUGAUUUUCUUCAGCUACUUUAUAAAUGGCUCAAAACCUCAGCCAUUUAAGGGAGGUUUCUUGGAGCGCCUGCUUGCGCUCUUCAGCAUGUGGGACGUGGACGUGUGGGAGCCUGCAGCAGAGCUGUACUUCACAGUGCUUAUUGUAAGUGUUGAAUAUCUUCUGAUGCCACGAUCCACAAAUUCUCAGGAUUGUAUCUUAAACUCAGUGACACUAUGUUGGAUGUGUGUGGAAUUUGUCAAUAGGAUUACCUU